AUUGAACGCUGGCGGCAGGCCUAACACAUGCCAGUCGAGCGGUAACAGAAAGAAAGCUUGCUUUCUUUGCUGACGAGCGGCGGACGGGUGAGUAAUGCCUGGGAAUAUACCCUGAUGUGGGGGAUAACUAUUGGAAACGAUAGCUAAUACCGCAUAAUCUCUUCGGAGCAAAGAGGGGGACCUUCGGGCCUCUCGCGUCAGGAUUAGCCCAGGUGGGAUUAGCUAGUUGGUGGGGUAAUGGCUCACCAAGGCGACGAUCCCUAGCUGGUCUGAGAGGAUGAUCAGCCACACUGGAACUGAGACACGGUCCAGACUCCUACGGGAGGCAGCAGUGGGGAAUAUUGCACAAUGGGGGAAACCCUGAUGCAGCCAUGCCGCGUGUAUGAAGAAGGCCUUCGGGUUGUAAAGUACUUUCAGUUGUGAGGAAGGCGUUGGAGUUAAUAGCUUCAGCGCUUGACGUUAGCAACAGAAGAAGCACCGGCUAACUCCGUG
rnacentral:rRNA from 1 species